rnacentral:rRNA from 1 species
GAUGAACGCUGGCGGCGUGCCUAAUACAUGCAAGUCGAGCGAAUGGAUUAAGAGCUUGCUCUUGUGAAGUUAGCGGCGGACGGGUGAGUAACACGUGGGUAACCUGCCCAUAAGACUGGGAUAACUCCGGGAAACCGGGGCUAAUACCGGAUAAUAUUUUGAACUGCAUGGUUCAAAAUUGAAAGGCGGCUUCGGCUGUCACUUAUGGAUGGACCCGCGUCGCAUUAGCUUGUUGGUGAGGUAACGGCUCACCAAGGCAACGAUGCGUAGCCGACCUGAGAGGGUGAACGGGCAAAAUGGGACUGAGACACGGCCCAGACUCCUACGGGAGGCAGCAGUAGGGAAUCUUCCGCAAUGGACGAAAGUCUGACGGAGCAACGCCGCGUGAGUGAUGAAGGCUUUCGGGUCGUAAAACUCUGUUGUUAGGGAAGAACAAGUGCUAGUUGAAUAAGCUGGCACCUUGACGGUACCUAACCAGAAAGCCACGGCUAACUACGUGCCAGCCGCCGCAGUAA